AUGAACGCUGGCGGCGUGCCUAAUACAUGCAAGUCGAGCGAACAGACGAGGAGCUUGCUCCUCUGACGUUAGCGGCGGACGGGUGAGUAACACGUGGAUAACCUACCUAUAAGACUGGGAUAACUUCGGGAAACCGGAGCUAAUACCGGAUAAUAUAUUGAACCGCAUGGUUCAAUAGUGAAAGACGGUUUUGCUGUCACUUAUAGAUGGAUCCGCGCCGCAUUAGCUAGUUGGUAAGGUAACGGCUUACCAAGGCAACGAUGCGUAGCCGACCUGAGAGGGGGAUCGGCCACACUGGAACUGAAACACGGUCCAGACGCCUACGGGAGGCAGCAGUAGGGAAUCUUCCGCAAUGGGCGAAAGCCUGACGGAGCAACGCCGCGUGAGUGAUGAAGGUCUUCGGAUCGUAAAACUCUGUUAUUAGGGAAGAACAAAUGUGUAAGUAACUAUGCACGUCUUGACGGUACCUAAUCAGAAAGCCACGGCUAACUACGUG
rnacentral:rRNA from 1 species